rnacentral:rRNA from 1 species
UAGGGAAUCUUCCACAAUGGACGAAAGUCUGAUGGAGCAACGCCGCGUGAGUGAAGAAGGUUUUCGGAUCGUAAAGCUCUGUUGUUGGUGAAGAAGGAUAGAGGCAGUAACUGGUCUUUAUUGACGGUAAUCAACCAGAAAGUCACGGCUAACUACGUGCCAG